ensembl:lncRNA
AUCGUCGCUGGUGAAAUCCAUGAAGACGUCGCCAUUAUCCUCGUGUGGCUUUGAAAGUCAUUGAGAGAUUUUGUUUGCCACCUGAUGCAAAAGUAACAUACAGGGAUGCAACAGGGACAGAAGUCGAUGAAGAAAUAUUCAGUGACCUCAUUGGACAAGGCAAUGUGGUGCUGACUGUUUUCUCAAAUGACGAAUUUUCAGACUCUUUUUCUUCCACAUCUGAGAAGUCUGACAAAAGCAACAGUUCAAGUGCAUCGACUAUAAUCUUAGAUGAGGUCCCUAACAAGAGACAGAGAAAAGAGGACACAUCUGCACUGUCUGCAAAGCAGUUGGUCGAGGAUGUUCUUAAAUUGAAGUCUGGUGGUGAAGCAGUACUACAGGAGUAUCAAGAAACAGAAACCCUUACAGAUGCCACAAGAAGACAAAUGAUCAACAUUCUGGUGGCUCACAUGAUUGAUACACAUGGGCAACUCCCUACUAAAGCCAUCAGAGAACAGUAUGCUCUUGGCAUAGUGAUGAUGUUCCCUUCCCUCAGAGAUCCUUAUUCCAAGAAAGGAUAUGAACACUUUUAUGAUGCUGCAAGCAACACAGGAUACAUUGCUUGGCGUAUGAAAACAGUCCACAGGAAGAUUAGACGAGGAUCUUUGCCACUAGACAGCCCUCAUGAUGUUUCUCCAGGAGGCCCAAAAUGCCAAAGGGCUACUAAUUUUGAAGGGCAACUUGAUGGGGAUGCUUGCAGAGAGGCCAUUUCUUUGCUCAGCCACACUACAGAGAAGUCCCUAAUAUUCCAAAAGAUGAGAGAGACCUUUCAGCAUCGCCAGAAGCUUGUUAAAGAUCCAGGCUCUAGUGUUGAUAUCCUCUCCACCUUCCCAAGAUUCCUAGAUACAAAAGGCCUGGUUGAUCAAGACUUCACUCUCCUGUUUGACACCGAGACAUCCUCCAGGCUGCUUCAGAAGUGGGACACGUUCUUCAGGCCAAAUGUCAUUAGAGAGGCCAAGCAACUUACUUCAACAGCAGAGCUGAGUCAGUUGUUGCUCUCAGCAGAAUGUCCUAAAGGAAGUGACCUUCAUGAAACAAUCUACGACCAGGAAAUGGCAUCCCUUCUUUUACUGAUACAUCUCCUUCCACCAUCACCAGGAGGACCGAAGUCUCCAAAAAUCAGUGCAUGUGAUGCUGCUGAAAGACUUGUAAUCUUUCAUAAGUCAUGCUGCAGUUUGGAGGAGCACCUCAACAACAUCCAGCAUCAGCAUCCCUACCUCCUUGCUGUUGGACGCCAGAAAAGCAAGACUGAGUGCUUCUACAUCAUCUUGGAUAAGCAUCUCAUCCCAUGCCAGGCAAACCGCUCCCUUGGAGCAUUUGAUGAACUUUUCAAGGCACAUUUUGUGUUCAAUUUAUCCUAUGAUAGUGCACUUCUAAACUUUUACACAUUCCUGCAGACAACAGUGUAUAACAUUGAUGUAGGUAAGAUGAAGGAGUCUCCCAGGGUUAGAGAUUUGAGAGCCAGACUGCUCAACCAGACAGUAACCUUAACUUAAAGUCGGGCAGUAUGAUGUUGACAGAAUGCUGAUCUGUUUUAUUUGUCAAAAAGAGCACCCAGAGAGUCAACAGUUGAUUUCCCAUUUAAGAGGUGAACA